GUUGGUGGGCGCUUUCACCAUUCAGCCAUGGAUGC
rnacentral:tRNA from 1 species